rnacentral:rRNA from 1 species
ACCUACGGGGGGCAGCAGUAGGGAAUUUUCGUCAAUGGGCGAAAGCCUGAACGAGCAAUGCCGCGUGAACGAGGAAGGUCUUCGGAUCGUAAAGUUCUGUUGAAGGGGAAAAAGAGCGGAGAGAGGAAAUGGUCUCCGAUUGAUAUUACCCUUCGAGGAAGUCACGGCUAACUACGUGCCAGCAGCCGCGGUAAUACGUAGGUGGCGAGCGUUAUCCGGAAUGAUUGGGCGUAAAGGGUGCGUAGGCGGCCUGCUAAGUCUGGAGUGAAAGGUACCGGCUCAACCGGUACAGGCUCUGGAAACUG